AAAGUAUCGAUGACAAUAUUGUUAUAACAUCAUAGUAGUUUAAAGGGGUUAUUAAGGAUAACUAUCAAAUUUAUAAAAAAGGAGGUAUUAUCUGCCAAAAGCUUUCUAAAAUAUUUAAAUAUUUUUUAUAGGAAAGCGAUCCUAAGGUAAACCUUAUUAUUAUUUACUUCCUGAAGUAAAACAUUUUAUUAGGGAAAGGAAAGGAAAUCAACCGAGACUCCGAAAGUAAUGGUGAGUGAAAUCGGAUUAGCCUAAAUUACUUUAUAAAUUGAAUAUUGAAUAAUUAAAAAAUAUUUUUUAAAUUAAUUUGAUUCUUAAUAUUAUAAAAUUAAAUUUUAAUUAGCAUAUAAAUUUUCUGGUUUAAAUAAACUAAAUAAAUUUAUUGCACUAAAAUAGGUUUAAAUCUAAGUCCUGUAGAUUUAUAAAGUAAUUAAUAUAUUAAAAAUGUUUAAUUAAAAAGUACGAUGAGAGAAAACUUGUCGGAAUAUAGGGGUACCAUCCUCUAAGGCUAAGUAUUAUAAAUUUAGUGAUAGUGAAAAGUACUGUAAAGGAAAGUUUGAAAUAAAAUGUUGUAGACAACUUUAAAUAACUUUGAAUUUAAUUUAUCUAUUAGUUUAGGUAUAGUUAUAUUUAAAGUUUUUUAAGAUUGAAAAAUUGAAUUAGUAACUCUAUAAGCAGUCGAAAUUCUACUUUAAUUAAAGAUUAAUGAAUGACGGCGUACCUUUUGCAUAAUGGGUCAGCAAGUUAAUAGGAGUAGCAAGGUUAAAAGCCCUAGCGAAAGCGACUGGACUAUAUUUGUGUUUAAAAUAUAGUGAUGGAUAAGUUACUUCUAUUAGACCCGAAGCCAGGUGAUCUUACCUAGACCAGUUUAUAAUUGAGCGAACGGGUGAAUGUUGCAUAAUUCUCCGAAGAGUUUAGGUAAGCGGCGAAAUACCAAUCUGACCUGGUGCUAUCUGGUUUUCUACCGAAACAUAUUUAAGUAUGACAUCUACAUAUAUAGAUUUAUGGAGGUACAGAAAGGCAACUCCCAACAAGAAUUAGGUUUGUAUGUAGUAAAUAGUUAACUGCAGCAUACCUCUUUGGCGUUUAGGUUGCGGGGACGUAGAAAUCUUACCUUUGGAGGAGAAUCUCGGAAUUACAUAAAUUGAUAGUAGAUAUUCAGACUAUUCAUGCUAAGUUGAAUAGUCAAGACGGAAACAGCCGAGAACACAGAUCAAGGUCCCAAAUGAUUGUUAAGUGAAAUUAAGGACGUAGCAAAAUCGUAUACAGCUGUGAAGUGAGCCUGGUAGUCGCUACUUAUAAUGAUCGUAUGUAACAACGCAUCAGCAGUCUAGAUUGUAGCGCCGAAAAUUUAACGGGUCUUAAACAAUCAACCGAUAUCGUGUUGGUAUUAAAUAUAAUUAAUUUUUUAUUUAUUACCUAGGUAGUAGAACAUUCAGUCAAUCUGUUGAAAAAAUAGUGUUUCAUUAUUUUUAGGCAACUGAAGAGAGAAUGCUGACAUGAGUAACGUUAAAGAAGUUUAUAAUACUUCUCGCCGAAAACGAAAGGGUUGCACAACAAGAUUAAAUCGUUGAAUAAUGUGUUAAUGCGGCCUCUAAGGACCCUGACCAAAGUCAUGGCUGAUGAGUAUAUAAUAGAAAGUCCUAUCAUUUAAUAUGAGGACCAGGAAAAUAAUAUUAUUUUUUAAAUUAUAUUUAUAAAAUUUAAUAGGUAAAAAACAUUAAAUAUAAAGGAUAAAUUUAUAAUUUAUUGUUCAGCAAUAUAUUUAAUCCUUCCUUUUGGGGUGGGAGUAAAUUAUAAUGUUGGUUUAUUUAUAUAAUUUAAUUUUACUACCGUACCCUAAACCGACACAGGUUCGUAGGUAGAGAAUACUAAGGCGUAGAGCUAAAAGUUGUUAAGGAACUCGGCAAGAUUACCUCAUAAGUUUGACGAUAAGAGGUACCACUUAUAUAUUUUGUAUAUUUUAUGAUUUAUAUAAGGCGGUGGCACAGAAUCGGAGGCCCCGACUGUUUACUAAAAACACAAUUCAGUGCAAUGAUAAAUAUCGUAGUAUACUGAAUGAAAUUUGCCCGAUGCCAUUAAUAUAAGAGAGGUCAUUGAAAAAUGUGACUAAUUGAAAGUCUGGUUAAUAGCGGUCUUAACCAUGAGGAUCCUAAGGUAGCAAAAUCAGUUGGCCAUUAAAUGUGGUCCGGUAUCAAUAAUGUAACGAUGGUCUCACUGUCUCUACAACUUGCUCAGUGAAAUUGAAUUACCCGUGAAGAUGCGGGUUAUCUUCAGGUAGACGGGAAGACCCUAUGCAGCUUCUACUGUAGUUAGUUAUCAUGUAAAUCUAGAACAGCCUUCUACAAUAGCAAAUAGGGAUGUCGAUAGACGAAUUCUGGAAACCUUAUGUUUAAGGCUGGGUUUAUGUUUACCUUAUUUGUAUCUUUAAGAACAAAAGGGGAGAGUUGACUAAUUGGCAGUUUGACUGGGGCGGUCGUCUUUAAUAGAGUAGCAAAGUACAUCCAAAUUUAUUCACAAAUUAAUAAGUAUAUAUUAAAUAAAAUAUAAAUAUAAUUGUAUUUAUUAAAUUAAUCAAAUCAAGGUUAAUACUCCCUGAUCUAUACUUACACUCCUCCGGCUCGGUGUUAAUGCGGAUUUUUCUCUUUAGCAUCCUCCAGGGGCGGAGUAUCUCCCUUCGGGCGUGGUAAUUUCCAUUAGUAUAUUAAUAUAUAUUUUAAUUUUUCACAAAUAAUCUAUCUUCUUUAUUAAAUCUAAUAAAUUUAAUUGAAGAGGUGAGGUAAAUAAUUAAGUAAUUAAAAAGAAGCUUAGUCUUUUAGGAAAAUCUAUUUUUAGAUUUCUCUCCCAUUCUUCUUCUACUAAUAUAAUUAUUAAUAAUUUUUAUGUUAGUUGCCAGUCCCGAUUGCUUAGCUUUCGGAGUCUGGAAGAAGAGGUAUAAUUUAUUUUAUAUUUAUAUUUAUUGUGAAUAUAAAAUAGGGGGGAGCGAGGCCUAGAAAAUAAAAAUAUAUUUAAUUUAUUCGCUAAAAAUUUACGGAUAAAAAUUAUAACAAACUUAUAAUUAUAAUCUCCUUAACUUAAAAGUGCCGCUGCGAAGCAUCGGCUGCUUUCAGAGUGGAGAAAUUAUAUCUAACAAAUUAAAUUAAUAUGUUGAACCCGACCUCCUAUUAAGGAAUGAGGGUAAAAAUAUUCAACGAAAAAGUAUUAAAGGUAUGGCUAGACAUUGAAUGGAGAUCAAUCGACCAGUGAAGGGUUGCGCAGAGUUCAAUGGCGGAAAGCAUGCUUAACUGAAAGACCUAUAAGUCGCACAGAUACGUAAGUAGGGCAUAGUGACCCCUCGCUAUAGUAUGGAAUAGACGGGGAUCAAUAAAUAAAAGUUACGCUAGGGAUAACAGGCUGAUCACCGACGAGAGUACACAUUGUCUCGGUGGUUUGGCACCUCGAUGUCGACUCAUCCUAUCCUCCGGGGGAAGAAGCUUGGAAGGGUUCGGCUGUUCGCCGAUUAAAAGGGUACGCGAGUUGGGUUUAAUACGACGUGAGUCAGUAUGGUCCCUAUCUUCUGAAGAGAUAAGUAGUAAACGAGGGCAGACCUUCUAGUACGAAAGGAUCAAUAGGCUGUGUUUCUCUAGUGUACCAAUUGUUUUUACUUUAUUAUAAGGAACUCUGAUCAUUAGAUCCAGGGGAAAGUCCUUUUUUUACUAAUUUUUUUUGUUGUCUAAUUCUAUUAUAUUUAUAUUUUAGAAUAAAAAAAAAAAUAAAUUUAAAAAGGUAAUAAUCUAGGAACGCAUAGUUGGGUAGCCACAAACAUAAUAGAUAAGUGCUGAAUGUAUAU
rnacentral:rRNA from 1 species